AAGCAUGUUGUUUUGCUUGUAUUGCCGCAGGUGGCUCCGACAUAAUAUGCAAGAACACUUGUUGUUUCCCUGUAUUCUUGCCGAUUCGGUUGUUGCUAAGAUGGAAGAAAUGGGAGCCAAUGUCGCGAUGGGAGGAGUAGAAUAAAAUGAUAUGCGUGCACUGCUACUAGUAUGGAUGCCAUUCACAUGCAUAUGAUGCAUUGCUUCAAGCUAUGGUCAAGUUAUGUUAAUGUUUACCUACAAUAAAUUGUUGAAUGUUUGGGGACAACUCUGGUUGAACCAUGUGUUUGUCUGAAUUACAUAUAUGUUAUGCAUUUGUGCAUGUGUGUCAGCUCACAAGCCUAUUUAUUUGCUCUUGCUGCUUGUAAUAAGGCCAUAGAGAGUUUCCACAAUGAUAUGUAGCGUGCACGUAUGUUAUAAUACAUUUAUAUAUUGUCUGCGCCCUUGCCAAUUUUA